GUUUGUAGCUCAGUGGCAGAGCGCUUGCCUAGCACAUAUGAGGCACUGGGUUUGAUACCCAGUAUCACA
rnacentral:tRNA from 1 species